ensembl:lncRNA PCED1B-AS1 PCED1B antisense RNA 1
AGGAAGCGGAAGACUAAUGACCGAAGCUUCAAGACUUUGACAUGUGUGAAAACAUGAAAUGACCCUUGGCUCUUAUUGUUCUUGCUGGUGUGGUAUGUUCACGGCUGAAAAGAUGGUCAGAAGGGGAAAGGAGGAAGUGAGAAGAAAGAAACAGGGAAAUGACAGAGUGUUGCUCAGUUACCCAGGCUGGAGUGCAAUGGCAUGAUCUUGGCUCACUGCAGCCUCCACCUCCUGGGUUCAAGCGGUUCUCGUGCCUCAGUCUCCCAAGUAGCUGGGAUUACAGACGAAAUCUUGCUCUGUUGCCCAGGCUGGAGUGCGAUGGCAUGAUCUUGGCUCACGGCAAACUCCGCCUCCCUGGUUCAAGUGAUUCUCCUGCCUCAGCCUCCCGAGUAGCCGGGAUUACAGGCAUGUGCCACCAUGCCCCGUUGGCCAGGCUGGUCUCGAACACCUUACCUCAGGUGAUCCUCCCACCUUUGGGAUUACAGGAACUGACUCAGCGCAAGAAGACAGCUUCGACUCCUUGUGAUUUCAUCCCUAACCAAUCAGCACUCCUGGCUCACUGGCUUCCCCCAACCCACCAAAUUGUCCUUAAAAACUCUGCUCUCCAAACGCUGGGGGAGACUGAUUUGAGUAAUAAUAAAACCCUGGUCUCCUGC